UAUAAUAAACUAAGAAGCUUGAGAGAACUGGAAAUUAUAAAUUUUUGAAAAGUAUUUCGGCUAAAAAAAUGCAAGCAAUCAAUUUAGUGUUUGGAAAUUUUUAACUCUGAACAUCAAGGUGACAGUGAAAUGUAUUACUUUUCAAUCGUUUAAAAGAUCAAUAACAAAAAAUAAAACAAAAAAGUCUUGUUGAAAGAUUUGUGUAGUUGAUCUUUAAGCGCUUUUGCUGGCAAACAGGAAACCUUUAAAAUCAACAAACUGGCGAGAAUGUUUGUUUGGUACCGUAAGAUUGGGUGGCUUUGGCCCUACUUUAGCCCAAGCAAAAUUUUUGUUUAAAAAUGGUUUAAAAUCGAUACCUUAAGCAGUUGAAAAAAUUAAGAAAAAAUGGAGCAGAAAUUACUAUUAUGAAAAAAAAUGGACUUAACUGGAAAUGGUCACUACCAGCACAGCAACUUUUUUUCCACCAGUCUGAAAUAGUCGAUUUUAUUGAGGAACCAAAGAAAAUUUCGAAAUAAGGAAAUAAUUCAGUUCCAGAACUUUUUCACUAAAUUUUUUAAAACAUUAUUUUUGUCAUUUUUGUUUACUUUAUACCUAAACUGUUUUGUUUACUUGGUACCUAUACUUGUUUAAUUUGUACCUAUAUUUUAUUUACUGUAUACAAGAACUUUGUUACUAAAUCUUUUUUUGUCACUUUAUUUUUGUAAAUUUAUUUUCUUUGCCUAAA